rnacentral:misc_RNA from 1 species
AGCAGCCGCGGUAAUUCCAGCUCCAAUAGCGUAUAUUAAAGUUGUUGCAGUUAAAAGCUCGUAGUUGAAUUUCGGGAUCAAAGGAUCGGUCAUGCCUUGGUAUGUACUGGUUUUAUUGGUUCUCACCUUCUAAAGAACCAUAAUGUCAUUCAUUUGAUGUUAUGGGGAAUUAGGACUGUUACCUUGAAAAAAUUAGAGUGUUUAAAGCAGGCUUACGCUUGAAUACAUUAGCAUGGAAUAAUGAAAUAGGACAUCAGAUUCUAUCUUGUUGGUUUCUAGGAUCGAUGUAAUGAUUAAUAGGGAUAGUUGGGGGCAUUAGUAUUCAAUUGUCAGAGGUGAAAUUCUUGGAUUUAUUGAAGACUAACUACUGCGAAAGCAUUUGCCAAGGAUGUUUUCAUUAAUCAAGAACGAAAGUUAGGGGAUCGAAGACGAUCAGAUACCGUCGUAGUCUUAACCAUAAACUAUGCCGACUAGGGAUCGGAUGAUGUUAAUUUUUUAAUGACUCAUUCGGCGCCUUACG